rnacentral:lncRNA from 1 species
GAGGUACUGAGAGUCUGAGACAUUUAAAUUCUUUCUUAGUUUCCUAAUUCCUUUGGACUUCGAGACGCUGGAAAGACUUGUACUGGAAUUUAUACUUGUCAAUUCCGUUUGAUUACGUGGCCUGCCGUACAAUUUCCCAUAAUGUCGUCUCUUGCUCUUGCUGUAUCUUGCACGUUUCGUCACAAGAUGAGGUACAUCCACGCCAUUCGACCAAGCUGAACCGAUAGUGAACCAUUUAAAACGACAUGUCAAAGAUCUUGCCUUUCACUACGUGUUCACUGCCUUUGCAUGAAGUUGCGUCUUUGAGAGGGUCUCUACUAUGGCAAAUGUGAUGAAAAGAGGAAAUCUGAAUAUGUGGCUUUGUUGCAGCCAGCUGGUGAAAGGGAGUUCAAGUCAAGUUGAGCUGCAGGCCUGCAGCUUCUGGAAGCAGUCUACAUCGCUGAUGUCAUCCUGAAGUGGAAAAGUGUUACCUGAAGUGUAACUACAAAAAAUACAUCUUGAAAUGGACGUGGUGAUAAUGUGAUGCAUCUGCAUGCAGUCUAUGCAGGUGGUGUUUUCGAGAAGUGUAUAAGCAAGACUUUGAAGCUUAGUCUGAAGAAUAUUUUCUGAAAUGUCAAAAGUCAACUCUAAACUGACACAGGAAUUAAGUGACAGAGCCCACAAUUCUUCCCGUCUUUCGUGUUGAUUCCGUUGCCCAUAAUAAUGAUGGAUUACUCACGUUAUGUGCCUGGCAUGUAUAUCAUUCGCUUUCCCCUCCCUGGCCGUGAUCUUGGGGAAUUAGGAAGCCAUGGUUGUAGUGCGUGUUUGAUCCAGCGUGACUUUCAUCACCUUCACACAAUUCGAUGGCGUCACGUGAAACAAAAAAAGGAGAAUGAAUAACGAUUCCGGUCUGGUGACGAUAUCGAGAAGUCUGGGUUUCCGUUCAGCCACACAAGAUAUUGCAUAUAUUGAAUUGGGAUCGUUAAAAACAUCACGUGUCGUUGCACCUUAACGACGAUGGGCGUAUUUGGUUGCGCCACGUUGACUUUAAAAGAGGAAGGAAGAGAGUGAGAGUGGGGGGUGUUUGCGACCUCCAGAGGCGAGAGAGAAAAACGUCGAAAUCUUCUUAUUAUUUUUGUAAAAGACUUUGGCAGCGACCUCCUCCUCCUGUAGUCACCAUAGAGGACAGGUUUAAAAAGCUUACGACUCUAGUCUGCACGUGUUCAGUUGCCGGCCGAGUGUCGAGACUUGCACAACGAUCUCAGCAAACUACUUGGAAGAGAACAGGUGAUGAGAAUAUGAUGGCCAACUUGUUGAUGCUCCUCACCGCUGCUUUCCUGAUUUCUUCCGGAAGCGUUCAUUCAGCUGCUGCCAAGAAUAGAAGAGUUGACAGAACCGAUCGAUUGCAGUUUUCCGCUUAAUGUCGGACGAAAUUCAACAACGUCACAUAAUUCACCAAUAGAACGAGUUUCUUUCUGCCAUAAAACCACAAAUGGGCAGUAUGUCGACGGUACACUUCCUUCCGAAGCCGGACCCAGUGGCGAACGCCAACUCGACUCGUACUGCGACGCCUGGACGUCCAGCGACGUCAAGACGCUCGGAGUGGCCGCCUCUCUCAUCGCCUCUUCUCCGUCCUCCCACCAACAGCAGCAGCAGACGGGCGGUGGUGGUGGCGGCAAAUUGUUGGCCCAGGACAAAUUCUCGUGUCAGAACCGAUUCGUCGUCCUGUGCAUCGAAGCCACCAGCCAAGGGGUGGCAACCGGUGGCAGUGGGCGAGUGAAGCGGACGGCCGAGCACAUCAUCUCGGAGGAUCACUACCAAGCUCACCUUCAGUCGCUCUUUUAACUUGUUCAUUUGUCGUGUUCCAGAAAUCUCUCCCACGCAAAUUUUCGAUUUCAUUCUGAAAAUGAUUUGCAAAAAUGACCCAAGAGUCGGCCAAAGACCCGAAGGCACUUCUUUGUCUCUGCAUUUCCUUUUUUAAAAAAUGUUGUUCUAAAUUUGUGCAGCUUUUUGGGGGGAGGAUUAUAAAAUAAUCCGACGACAAUUGACCCAAAAUGUCGUCGUUGGCGAUUUAUAUAUUUUUGAAUUUAUACCCCUUCCUUGUUUUUCUCUCGCCCCCCGAGGAAUGAUGAGAUUGUCUGUGUGUGUGUUGCAUCAGUCACAAAAUGUGUUCUGCGUCCAAAGUCUUUGAUAUAACACGUAUAUAGCAACUACCAAUUACCCUUGUUAGAUGUCGCUGGCAUCGCUUUGUUUUCUUGUCACGUCAAAAGUUCUUGUUGCUUUUCAUGCUGCUUUCUUCGUGAUUUUCUUUAUGUUUUUUGGAAUAAAUUCAACGCCGUUUAAAAUGAGAAAACGUGUUGAAAGGGUCGUGCAGCUUACUGCUGUGUGUUCAAAAUCAUUGUAUUCUACUGAAGGUGCCAUCAAAAUGAAACAGGAUUCAUCAUAAUUGUCUGGUGUCUGCUGUUUGUAUUGGACUUGCUAGAUCGCUAAUCCCAGCCAUGUCCCAAUUUUGAGUGUACACUACUAACUGUUUAUUAUUUCUAGAUCAUAGACGUCAAGCACAUUGAUAACACAAACUAUAAACAAGAUUUGAUGAGAAGUCAUAUUUAGAAGGAAAAGGACAAGGACCAUACAGUCAACAAGGUUCCUUGUUUGCUAACCCGUUGGCUGCUACCCUUCAAUCUCCCUGUUUACUUCAUUACACAGGUCCUAUUGAUUUGAGGGUAACUCUUUCGCUACUGAUGACAUCAACUGUUAUAAACUGACGAGAGAAUGCUGCAAUUCAAGACUGAUGCAUUGUGUAGUUGUUAGAUAAAUUGCAAGUGCAUAUCUGGGCUCCCUUCUUUUCUGUGGCCCCGUUUCCCUAACUAACCACUAACCAAC